rfam:Paenibacillus sp. VKM B-2647 B-2647_007, whole genome shotgun sequence.
CCAAGAAAAUGGCAAACCCGCCGAAAGGCGGCGACGCAAAGCUACAGGGGCUAAGGGAAACUAUGCCAGCCAGCUGCCGAA